AGAGUUUGAUCCUGGCUCAGAGUGAACGCUGGCGGCAGGCCUAACACAUGCAAGUCGAACGGCAGCACAGCAGUAGCAAUACUGUGGGUGGCGAGUGGCGGACGGGUGAGGAAUACAUCGGAAUCUACCUUGUCGUGGGGGAUAACGUAGGGAAACUUACGCUAAUACCGCAUACGACCUACGGGUGAAAGCGGAGGACCGCAAGGCUUCGCGCGAUAAGAUGAGCCGAUGUCGGAUUAGCUAGUUGGCGGGGUAAUGGCCCACCAAGGCGACGAUCCGUAGCUGGUCUGAGAGGAUGAUCAGCCACACUGGAACUGAGACACGGUCCAGACUCCUACGGGAGGCAGCAGUGGGGAAUAUUGGACAAUGGGCGCAAGCCUGAUCCAGCCAUACCGCGUGGGUGAAGAAGGCCUUCGGGUUGUAAAGCCCUUUUGUCCGGAAAGAAAAGCAUCGGGCUAAUACCUCGGUGUUCUGACGGUACCGGAAGAAUAAGCACCGGCUAACUACGUGCCAGCAGCCGCGGUAAUACGUAGGGUGCGAGCGUUAAUCGGAAUUACUGGGCGUAAAGCGUGCGCAGGCGGUUGUGUAAGACAGGUGUGAGAUCCCCGGGCUUAACCUGGGAACUGCGCUUGUGACUGCACGGCUAGAGUAUGGCAGAGGGGGGUGGAAUUCCACGUGUAGCAGUGAAAUGCGUAGAGAUGUGGAGGAACACCGAUGGCGAAGGCAGCCCCCUGGGCCAAUACUGACGCUCAUGCACGAAAGCGUGGGGAGCAAACGGGAUUAGAUACCCUGGUAGUCC
rnacentral:rRNA from 1 species